rnacentral:rRNA from 1 species
GCAUAUCAAUAAGCGGAGGAAAAGAAACCAACAGGGAUUGCCUCAGUAGCGGCGAGUGAAGCGGCAAGAGCUCAGAUUUGAAAUCGUGCUUUGCGGCACGAGUUGUAGAUUGCAGGUUGGAGUCUGUGUGGAAGGCGGUGUCCAAGUCCCUUGGAACAGGGCGCCCAGGAGGGUGAGAGCCCCGUGGGAUGCCGGCGGAAGCAGUGAGGCCUUCUGACGAGUCGAGUGUUGGGAUGAGUCCAGCGGUGGAAUUCCUCUAAGGUANNAUGGGAAGACGUACGACAGAUGGAGGAAGUGAAAGAUUGAAAAGGAAAGACGGAAUGUGAAGGAGGAUGGCGCUGGAUGGACGUGCCCGGGGGGUUGGUUCUGGCGUCGUCUGUGAGAGGUUGACGGUUCGGGAAGAGCAAGUGGGGGCAGUGGCGGAGCCAGUGAACGCCCGCGUGACCGCAGGAUCUUAACGAGCACCUAGGUAUUAUGGACUGCAUGUCGGGAUGUCGCCAUCCCAUCACGAGUAAGAGUGGGUAGGGUAUAUAUGUGUCUG